AUUGAACGCUGGCGGCAGGCCUAACACAUGCAAGUCGAGCGAGCGGCGGACGGGUGAGUAAUGUAUGGGGACUGCCCGAUAGAGGGGGAUAACUACUGGAAACGGUAGCUAAUACCGCAUACUAUCGGAUAACCCAUAUGGGAUUAGCUAGUAGGUGAGGUAAUGGCUCACCUAGGCGACGAUCCCUAGCUGGUCUGAGAGGAUGAUCAGCAAAACUGGGACUGAGACAAGGCCCAGAGUACAAGGGAGGCAGCAGUGGGGAAUAUUGCACAAUGGGGGCAAGACUGAUGCAGCCAUGCCGCGUGUAUGAAGAAGGCCCUAGGGUUGUAAAGUACUUUCAGUCGGGAGGCGUUACCGACAGAAGAAGCACAGGAUAACUCCGUGCCAGCAGCCGCGGUAAUUC
rnacentral:rRNA from 1 species